rnacentral:rRNA from 1 species
UACGAAGGGGGCUAGCGUUGCUCGGAAUGACUGGGCGUAAAGGGCGCGUAGGCGGUUCAUACAGUCAGAUGUGAAAUUCCUGGGCUCAACCUGGGGGCUGCAUUUGAUACGGGUGGACUAGAGUGGGGAAGAGGGUCGUGGAAUUCCCAGUGUAGAGGUGAAAUUCGUAGAUAUUGGGAAGAACACCGGUGGCGAAGGCGGCUCACUGGCUCAUUACUGACGCUCAGGCGCGAUAGCGUGGGGAUCAAACAGG